UACGGGGGGAGCAAGCGUUGUUCGGAUUUACUGGGCGUAAAGGGCGCGUAGGCGGGCGGCCAAGUCAGGGGUGAAAGCCCCCAGCUCAACUGGGGAAGUGCCUCUGAUACUGGUCAUCUCGAGGGAGAUAGGGGCGUGCGGAACUUCCGGUGGAGCGGUGAAAUGCGUAGAUAUCGGAAGGAACACCGGUGGCGAAAGCGGCGCGCUGGAUCUCUUCUGACGCUGAGGCGCGAAAGCCAGGGGAGCGAACGGG
rnacentral:rRNA from 1 species